GGAGGAGAAGAGAAGAUGAGAAAGGCACGGGGGAGAGGCGGCAGCCAAGUCGGGGUUGAGGUGGAAGAAGCCCCAGCCCCAGUGAAUAGCCUGGCCAGAAACAGCUUGUGAAGGUCCUUCAGCUGCUGCCACCCACCCACCCGCCUGCCUGCCCACCUGCCUGCCUGCUGGCCCACCCUGCUCCAGAGUUAAGAAACUUCCCCACUCCUCAGUGGACCCGACCGACCCCCCCGCUCCCAGCCAGCUUCUCUCGGCAUUAAGGCAUUAUCCCAAGAUGAAAGGCUGCAAUGGAGCUAUUUGCAAUCCCGCUGGCGGCUUCGGGGCUUGGCGAGAGAAAGACUUCAGAGAAGACUCCGGGAGGAGAAAAGGUCUAUGCUGUUGUUUGGGGGCAUUAAUGCCCCCCCUCUAACUCCCACUCAGCACUGGCUGAGCCCCAAGACUAGCCUCUCCUGGACAGCAGUGAAGCCUGGAGCCUGAGGGCAUGGGGAGGGGAGGGAACGGGAGCGGGCCUCACCCUGUGGGGAGAGGUCCAGCGUGGGGAGGGCAGUGUCAGGAGCUGGACCAGAAAAAUAGGUGUAGUCUGGGAGGGGGGCACCUCUUGGAAGGAUGGAACAGUAUGGCCUCGUGGCUAGAACAUGGGCCUGGGAGUCAGAGGAGCUGGGUUCUAAUCCCAGCCCCACCACUU